CUCUAUACAUCUAAAUCUGAAGGGUGGUUUGGGAUGAUCUAAAUAAGUGUACUUUUUUAUUUUUUAUAAAAUAUGAGUUAGGUUUGAAGUGAUGUGUUAAAGAAAUGAUAUGACCUAAAUAAGACAAUGUAACUUAAAUAGGAUAGUAAUUUUUUGAUUUUUUGAUUUUUUGAGUUUUUUAAAUCAUGCCAAACAAGGCCUGAAUUCAAAAAAAGCCCAACCUUUUAAUGUAGGCCAAUUCUGCUGUCAAUAAAUGAAUUGACAGCGCAUGAAAGGUGAGCCAUUUGGUUUUGGAAAAUGAGUGAGAGUACUAAUUAGUGCUAUCACUAAUGACGUGGUAGUGGGCCCCAUCAUGAAUGAUUUGAUGUUUUGACCUUGGUGUUGUAUUUUUUUUCUUUUUUUAUUGAGUGUCAUGUCAUUAAUGGUCUUUUUAAAGCUCCAAAAUUAGUAGUCUCUAUCAUUGUUGUUUGGUUUUUGAGGGACAUGAGAUUAUAAGAGCAUCUCCAACAGCUUGACUAUUCUUUCCUUUUAGCCAUAGAAGCGAGCUUGGAAGGGUAAAACAUUGCUCCAGCAGACUCGCUCAAGGAUCGCUAGAAUGGUGGUGAGCUACAGUACCUCGCCAGGACAAGCGAGGUAUGGAUUCACAACAAGAUGGUUACUUUACCAAUCUUUUACAAGAAAGGCCCAACAUUGAUGAACAUUAUCUAAUGGAAUCUCAAUAUUUGAAUCAAAGCACUCAAGUCUUCGCCCAAGAGUCUCAAUUUACUACUGAAAUUGAAUCUUUGUCGAAGAAACCUCAACGUGGAGGAAACUUCACAAUUGAAGAAGACAAACUCCUUGUAUCAGCUUGGCUUAAUAUUAGUUUAGAUGCGAUACAUGGGAAUGAGCAAAAACGCUCUACCUAUUGGAAAAGAGUGGGAUUUUUUCCAUGAGCACAAGAAAUUUGAGCCUAAUCGAAAUGAGAAUUCUCUUAUGAAUCGAUGGUCAACCAUUCAGCUUGCCAUGAAUAAGUU